UCCCUGGUAGCCCAGUAGUUAGGACUUUGUGCCUUCACUGCUGCGGGCCCAGGUUCAAUCCCUGGUCAGGGAA
rnacentral:tRNA from 1 species